UGCAUUUGUUUGAGACUGCUGACUAGUUAC
rnacentral:piRNA from 1 species